GGUUUUGAAGAGUUUCAAAGCCUUCGGAUUCGCUAGAUUGGGAUCUCUCGGUGUACUUUUUCGUACGGUUAGUCAACAUCGGUUUUGAAUGUCAUAAAAUGACUGGAGGAAUGUAGCUUCGAUCUCGUAUUGAAGUGUUAUAGCCUUUGGUAGAUGUGAUGUUUGAGACCGAGGAUUGCAACGGAUACCCUUCAAGGGCUAUUCGUCUGAUCUCUGAUACGUUGCCUUGAUGUUGAAAGCUUGCUUAUGAUGUUAGGGUAUUACGGUCAAAAGGUUAGAACGGAUUAGA
rnacentral:rRNA from 1 species